rnacentral:lncRNA from 1 species
AUGAUUAUUGUACUGGCCGUCUCCUCUGGCGGUGGCACUGUCCCAUCAAAUGCUGGGGCUGGGACAUUUGCCCCACCAGCCAAUUCUGCUUCUGUUGCUCUUACAGACAGGUAACUGAUCCCUUUCCCUCUAUACCUUUUUUUUCACCUGUGUGAGAACUGAGGCUAAUUGGUUUCUCUAAUGUGGAGGGUUUUUCUUGCCCCUGGAUGUCACCUUUUUUUCUAUUUUUCUGCCCAUGCCAGGUUCUAUUUUCUUUAGGUAUAGUUUGAAUAAAAUCAGAUUGAAGUCACAAGGUUUUAUCUAACUCAAUGUCAGUGCUCUAAUGUCGUUUUCUUUUUCGCUCUGUAAUUUUUCUCCAACAUUUUCCAGCAUAUUUUCAGGACUUCGGUCACAAUGUCUUUCAUACUGGGAAACAUUUAGUGACGGAGUCCAAUUUUUCACAUCUUCAAUGAGCAUAAUAAUCAUAGGUACUUAUUAACUACUGAUGUUUAUUGAUGGUGUUUUUUGGCUAGUAGCUGUCUGAGAUGCGCAUUUUCUUUUCUAUUUUCCAAUAUUCUCUGUUGAUGGGGUCUACUUUUAUUCGCACAUUGGAGGCACAUAGCUCAUUUCCUUCAUUACCUUGAACGUUGUUUUAAUUCUUCCAGAUAAUUUCCACACAUUCCAACGGAGUUCUUGAAGAGUUCCUUUUCUUUAUCUUUCUAACUCUUUAUUGGAUCUUAUCUUAUGAAUAAUUUAACAUGUUCGCAUUAACAUGCUGGGUUUGACAGAUAUUGUGGCCAAUUCUUAACAACAUUGUUUCUCUUCUAUAUCUGCAAAGUUAUCCUGUAAUGUUUGGAGAGCUACCAGUGCUAAAAAUACUUUAAAAUCAGACCAAUGUUAAUUUCGUGGUGCCGUUCUCAUAAGAUAAACGUUAAAUGCAUGGAUCCACAUUUCUUUUUCCAACCAUCGUCACAGGAGUAUUGGCCAUUAAUCAUUUUUAUAUCUUCCUAUCUGUUUUGACGUUUCUUCUUUAUGCUAACAGGUAGAGUGCUUGCUGAAAUCAUGCAAUCGUCUAGGAGACACAUUUGUCGCAAUCAGAGCCAUGUUGCCAGUACUGCGAUUCUUCCUUUUAAAAAUUUCAAAAUCUAUUCAAAUACUUGCCACGGAUUAUCUAUUUAUGAGUGCACCUCUAGAGGAGGAGGGGAGGCCAUGCGUUUUCUUCGGGAUAUAAGAAGUAGCAGAAGUCUACAUGUAACUCCUAUCUCAAGCUUUCUCAUUGGACUUUUGCGCCUGUAGAAUAUUUUGCUGCCUUUUUUUGUCCCUAGAUUUGAUGCUGAAAGCUUUCUUUACCAGUAUAUAUCUGGCAUUUCUAUUCAAUUCUUGUUGAAUCCCCUAAAAAUAUCGAAAUUCGUAUUUGAACUUUUUUUUUAGUUUCUGUUGUUGCCUAUCAAUACUAAAGUGGUUUUGUUGUAUAACAGAUUUGCGUGAAAUAGAAGAGGUGCAAAAGGGGAAGUCUAAAAGAUCAUAAUGGUUAAAUAAAAAAAGAGCAUCAUCAUAUCCUUUAGGAGGGACCAUAAGGUCCAAACGCGUUUUCUUUUCUUUGGCCUUGUAACUGUUUGAUGUUAUCUAGGAAAUCGUAACUGUUACAGUGUUUGUUAUCAGAUCAUACAACCACUUUUGGGCUAUUUAAAAGGGCAUGGACUGCAGAUCAGAAUGGCUUAUUUUUCUUUCAAAGCAGAAGAGGUAUCCCCCCC